CGCGUGCCGGGCCGUUGGCGGCCGUUGGGGGCGGGCGCCUGACGGCUGCCCCUCACGGCUACCCCUCACGGCUCCGCCCAUGCCGUACGGAGCUUGCUUCCUGCUCUUCCCGCUCCACAAAGCGCUUUUUCUGCGUGGUUACCGGGAAGGACACGUCGCUUCGCCAGCUUACUUGCUUCGUUCUGACAAGAGAUUGAACCGAAGUAGUUCAAAGGGCCUUAUCAAGUGUGCCUCGCGGUGUUCCGUGCAGCAGGAGUUUGUGGUUUGGCCGAGAAAGAGCGCAGCAGCUGCAGGGAGACCUGGGGAGGAGGGCAUGUUCUGAAAUAGCUGUCUUGGGCAAUUCUGUGCCUUUAAAAAUGAAGUUAACUGAUUGCGCCGAGGCACGGCGUUUUGUGCUUGUUUUGGCCUGUCCUACUUAAGAAUAGGCAGUGUGGAAACCUUGCGGAGUUUUCCAAGUGUAUUGAGGAGCACGUCGAAGGUUACAGGAAGCCAGCACGGACAACUAAAGUCUGAAAGGAAUGAUUAAUCAAAUGCAAUUUUAAGGCCGACGGUCCGUUUCUUGUUGCCCUUUGGGGUAUUCCAGUUCACUUUGUGUAUAAAUGAAAAAAAAAUAAAUCUUAAUGAUAGAGGUCCAAAAAUAGUUUAAUCAAAAAUGAGAUAGUAUGCAUUGGCUCAUCUGUGGUAUAGCUGUUCCUUUGUAAAUUUAAGAAGCACCAGGGGAAUAAAACAUUUUCAGUUGAGCUUGCCAGAGAAACAGAGUGAGUCACCGUCACUGCUUUUUUCUAAAUUAAGGUACUGACUAGCAUCCUGUCCUUAGAGGCUAAAGUAUUUGGGGAGAGCCUCUGACAAUCCAAACAUUCUUAGGUCAUUAACUGAGAAACCUCAUGUAUUCGGGAGAGUUACAUCUCAAAUACCAAAAGUCAUAGCUGUUAGGAAAAAGAAGGAAAUGAUGGCUCAGCAGCUAAAGGAAAGGACUGUAAACUGGUGUGCUUUACAUCUCGGAGAACAACAUUCUCUUCUGUUGCUGUAAAUUAAGGCGCAGAUCAAAGCACCUGUGAAAUUAUCUGAAAGAUGAGAUUAUACCCCGUGUAGAAGUGGCUAAGGAAACAAGUGAUUAAUAUGGUGGUGGGGAAACUACAGUUUGAUUCUUUUAAGUAUUCAGAAGCAAAUUUGCAGUGGAUGAAUGUAAGUAGCAAUCCAGUUUUGUCGUUAGUAAUGCAUGAAAGAAGAAAUAAGAUGCGUUUGUGUAUACCCAGUCUUAAGAGAAUUAAACAUGGAUUCAAGAUUCCUCAUCAGCCAAAGGAUCAGAGUCCUAGUAUGUCAGGUCAGCUACUGCAGAAGCCGAGGUCUUUGAAGCAGUGUUAGCCUGGCUGUUCUCUAAUAACAGAGGGACAAACUGGUAGAAUUUAAAGGAGAUACUAGGUAAAUGUAGAAUGAAAACUGGUAUGAAACUUGCUCAGCAACAGUCAUUGGCCUCUUCUAAUGCAGCAGGAAAGCUAUGCCAUCAGAUCUCAACAGCUAUUAUAUUUUGCCAAAAUUGUGCCCUUAUGGGAAAAAAAAAAGCUUGCAAGGUAGUAGCAGUUUUUCAAGCUCACAUUGUCAUGGAGCACUGAGUAACCUUCAGAGUAACUUCGGUAUUGCAGUACAUGCAUAACUGUUCAUUCAUAGCAAUAUAAUAGGGCAGGCUUUUCAGACUAUGUUGAUUUGUUCAUAAAGGUGGUUAAAAGAAAUAUGUCAAUGAACUCCACUGAGUAAAACAGCAAAAAAAAAAAAAAUUCUGAAAGGCUAGUAAUGACCUUCCAAACAAGGCUUGUAAUGGAGUGUACUGGUGUCCUGGGCUACCUUAGAGAGGGGUGUUGCUACCACGUUGAGGGACGUGAUCCUUCUUCUCUCCUCAUCACACUUGGCGAUGCCACACUUGGACUGUUGUAUCCAGUUCUGUGCUCCUCUGUACAAGAAGGAGGUGGAGUUACUGCAGAGAGUCCAACAAAGAGCCACAAAAAUGGUCAGGGGACUGGAGCACCUCUUGUAGGAGGAAAGGCUGGGAGAGCUGGGUCAGUUCAGCCUGAAGAAGGGGAGGCUCAGGCGAAUCUCAUCAAUGUACGUGAAUACCUGAAGGGAUGGCGCAAAGAGGGCAGAGCCAGGCUCUUUUCUGUGCUGUCCUGGGACUGGGCACCACUGAAACACAAGAGGUUCCUCCUGAGCGUCAGGAAGCAUGACUUCACUGUGACUGAGCAAUGGGAUAGGUUACCCAGAGAGCUUGUGGUGUCUCCAUUCUUGGAUGUAUUCAAAAGCCAUCUGAGCAUGGUCCUGCUUGAGCAGGGAGGGUGCACCAGAUGGCCUCUGGAGUUCUCUUCCAGCCUCAACCACUCUGUGACUCUGUACACUAACCAGAAGUGGGUUAGGUAGCCCCCAAUCACCCUGGCUUGUGGUUGAUUUACACAUUUUAGAAAAGUGAAAAGUGAAACAAUUACUGGGGAGUGCCUCUGUCAUCUAAGAGAACAUGAGCUGCAUGGAGAGCUGUGCAGCGCUGCUGCCGAGAAAAUGCUGCAGCACUUCAGUGUGUAGAUCACAUCGCUAACCUGGAAACUGCACAUGUGGUAGGCCGAGUCAACCUCACGAGCAGGGCUGUUGGAAGUAGCAGAUACUCAGCCAACAAGCUAGAUUAUUAUGUUUCAAAGAGCCAAAGGUUUCUGAGAGCCACAAGUGCUCUAUCGCUAGUGAGCUGAAAUGUAAGCUUGGGAAUUUAGUUGAUGUCAUUUUUAUUUUUUUUAAAGAAUUGGGUUAAAUGCCAGAACUUUUAUACAGGGAGUACUUUGAGUCAUUGCUAUCCCUGGGCAGUCUCCAAGCAGUGAUUUUUAAUACGAUUUUAAGUUAGCAAGCCAGUGACAAAUAGUUUUGCAAAGUUGCAUGUGUUUAUCUGUGAUUUUUGUGCCUUGCAAUAUCAUUUACCUGAGCCUGUUUAUGCUAGUUCUUAGACAUGAUCUCAGUUCAGGUUCGUGUUGGAAAAACAAGGAAACUACAGAAUCCAAAUUCAGCACAGAAGGGGACAUACUGAACGCUUCUCAGCUGCACUGAUUGUAGACUGCCUAGGCAGAUCCAGACAUAAUAAAUGCUGAACAGGGCUGGUGAUAGGAUGAUACCAUAUAGAACUGCUCAUACAUAUUUGUGGAUGUGUAGGGUGGGUCGUUAAUUGUCUGUCGUAAAAGGUUGGGUCAUCUGUGGAUUGAACAACUAGAACCACUGCAAAGUGAUCUCAUAGUGCUGUCUAAAUUGUCUUCUGCAUGCUGAUGUUGUGAACAAGAACAGAAAUACUCCUCUAAGUGUUUAUACAAACAUUCCAGCUAGCGUGUAACUCCUACAGAAUGCUUCAGGCUGAAGCGAAAUUACACCCCUCUGAAUCUUUGAACACCUUGAAUAAACUAGUUCUAGUACAAAGCAUUUUUAAGAAAACGAGGUCUCAACCGAGAAGCUUGAUUUGAUGUUUGGUCAGUUCCAAACUACCACUAUUGUAAUAUGAUUUCUGUCCAAAUACAAGAUUGUCGUAUUCUUGGUUAACUAGCUGUGCAAUUCCUUAAAAUAGUUGAGAUGGAGGAGAAUAUUCCUUAGCAUGCUUCAAAGUACUGUAGCAUUGUGAGUAUUGUGAGGUGUCCUGAAAUUGCUAUUAUUUUUUUAAUUGCUGUUAUUGUGUUAAUGCAACUAUUGCAGACAAGCAUUUUUAAGAGGUUUCUGUUGAUAGUGUAAUUCAAACUUUAGUGUGGGCAAGCCAAAUAGCUAUGUCUGUUUGUUGUUAGUGGGAGUCUUUUUCUGGCAAAAGGUUGUGGUUUUUUUAAGAGUAUGUCUGUGUGAAGUGUGACUAGAAGCUGACUGCGUGAAAGUGUUAUUGACUUUGUGAUGGCUUAGAAACACUCUUCCAAUAAAACAUCCGUCAAAAAGCA